rnacentral:rRNA from 1 species
GCUUGUCUCAAAGAUUAAGCCAUGCAUGUCUAAGUAUAACUCUUUUACUUUGAAAACUGCGAACGGCUCAUUAUAUCAGUUAUAGUUUCUUUGAUAGUCCCUUACUACUUGGAUACCCGUAGUAAUUCUAGAGCUAAUACAUGCAUCAAUACCCAACUGUUCGCGGAAGGGAUGUAUUUAUUAGAUUGAAACCAAUGCACUUCGGUGGUAUUGUGGUGAAUCAUGAUAACUUUGCGGAUCGUAUGGCUUCACGCCGACGAUGAAUCAUUCAAGUUUCUGCCCUAUCAGCUUUGGAUGGUAGGGUAUUGGCCUACCAUGGCUUUGACGGGUAACGGAGAAUUGGGGUUCGGUUCCGGAGAGGGAGCCUGAGAGAUGGCUACCACAUCCAAGGAAGGCAGCAGG